rnacentral:rRNA from 1 species
AUUGAACGCUGGCGGCAUGCCUUACACAUGCAAGUCGAACGGCAGCACGGGGGCAACCCUGGUGGCGAGUGGCGAACGGGUGAGUAACGCAUCGGAAUGUACCCAGUAGUGGGGGAUAACUAGUCGAAAGAUUAGCUAAUACCGCAUACGCACUGAGGUGGAAAGCGGGGGAUCGCAAGACCUCGCGCUAUUGGAGCAGCCGAUGUCCGAUUAGGUAGUUGGUGGGGUAAAGGCCUACCAAGCCUGCGAUCGGUAACUGGUCUGAGAGGACGACCAGUCACACUGGGACUGAGACACGGCCCAGACUCCUACGGGUGGCAG